UGAGGAACAUGACCUUCGGCGGGGGAUAGCCGGCCCAACGGCCGGGUAAUACCGCGUACGACCACUCUGGGACAUCCCUCGGUGGUGAAAGCAGCAAUGCGCCGAUGGAGUGCCUCGCGGCCUAUCAGCUAGUUGGUGAGGUAACGGCUCACCAAGGCGACGACGGGUAGCUGGUCUGAGAGGAUGGCCAGCCACAUUGGGACUGAGACACCGGCCCAGACCUCUACGGGA
rnacentral:rRNA from 1 species